rnacentral:rRNA from 1 species
UACGUAGGGUGCGAGCGUUGUCCGGAAUUAUUGGGCGUAAAGAGCUCGUAGGCGGUGUGUCACGUCGGCCGUGAAAACCUGGGGCUUAACUCUGGGCGUGCGGUCGAUACGGGCAUCACUAGAGUUCGGCAGGGGAGACUGGAAUUCCUGGUGUAGCGGUGAAAUGCGUAGAUAUCUGGAGGAACACCGGUGGCGAAGGCGGCAUCCUGGACCAACACUGACGCUGAGGAGCGAAAGCCAGGGGAGCAAACGGG